AGUCGAGCGAUGAGAUCCCUUCGGGGAAGGAUUAGCGGCGAACGGGUGAGGAACACGUGAGGAAUCUGCCUUCAACACUGGGAUAACUCCGGGAAACCGGGGCUAAUACCGGAUACGAGACCUGCAGGCAUCUGCGGGUCUGGAAAGUUUUUCGGUUGAAGAUGACCUCGCGGCCUAUCAGCUUGUUGGUGAGGUAAUGGCUCACCAAGGCGACGACGGGUAGCCGGCCUGAGAGGGCGACCGGCCACACUGGGACUGAGACACGGCCCAGACUCCUACGGGAGGCAGCAGUGGGGAAUAUUGGGCAAUGGAGGGAACUCUGACCCAGCGACGCCGCGUGCGGGAUGAAGGCCUUCGGGUUGUAAACCGCUUUCAGCAAGGAAGAAGCGAAAGUGACGGUACUUGCAGAAGAAGCACCGGCUAACUAUGUGCCAGCAGCCGCGGUAAUACAUAGGGUGCAAGCGUUGUCCGGAAUUAUUGGGCGUAAAGAGCUCGUAGGUGGUUCGUCACGUCGGAUGUGAAAAUCUGGGGCUUAACCCCAGACCUGCAUUCGAUACGGGCGAGCUAGAGUGUGGUAGGGGAGACUGGAAUUCCUGGUGUAGCGGUGGAAUGCGCAGAUAUCAGGAGGAACACCAAUGGCGAAGGCAGGUCUCUGGGCCAUUACUGACACUGAGGAGCGAAAGCGUGGGGAGCGAACAGGAUUAGAUACCCUGGUAGUCCACGCCGUAAACGGUGGGCACUAGUUGUGGGAACCUUCCACGGUUUCUGCGACGCAGCUAACGCAUUAAGUGCC
rnacentral:rRNA from 1 species